rnacentral:lncRNA from 1 species
CCAAAUACGACCCAUCUCACCAGUAAAAGGUGGGGAUUACAAUGAUGAAGAUGGGAGAGAUUUAUCGGUGCUUUCGUGUCCGUGAAGUUUCUCUGAGCUUGCUUUCAUCAGCUUGAGGUUAAAGCAAAAGGAGAUGUAAUGAUUUCAAAUCAUUACUCCGACUGCUUCGUAAUUGACAUCCCAUCUGCAUCAAUGAAUUAUAUCGGCAUACAACUUAUUCGAGAUAGAUUGAAAUCUUAUAAGCAAAAGCCAAAAGAAUUAUGCUAAAUAAUCUCGACUGCUUGUCGACGCCAAAGCAGCAAAGUAGGAGAGCGAUGGCGUAUGGGAGCGAAAAAGAAUUAGAGGAAGAAACGAGAGAGUCGGCCAUCAAAAUCCACAGCGGAGAGAAAGUACUGACAGCGGCGGGGUACGCCACCCCCCUCCCUUGCUUUCGCAGCUUUUUGUGCUCGCCCACUUCCUCGUUCCCAUUCGCGGCAGCGUUCGAACUACACAUCCACAACUACGCG